GUUUUCCGUUAAAGGCAACUUGCCUAAUGUCUACUGCGGGUGUCUGAAAGCUCCAACACCAGGCAAGUGAAAUAAGAGACCCUGCUAUAAGUGUGUUUGUGUGUGUGAUCAUUUUAACGUUUCAGCACGGCCAGCUGGCGGUCCUAAAUGUUAUUGGGAUUUUAUUGCUCAGUCUCAUUUUUCAGGAGGAAAACCCACAAUGAAUAUUUUACAAGACCGUUAAAAUACUUCAGACAGAUCACAAUGGUCAUAGCAGAGAUUUAAAUGGAAAACAUCUUCCCAACUAAUGGGUCUUUCCAAUCCAGGCCUCCUUUGGAAGACUCCCUUGUCUGUGGCUACACCUGCUGCUGGUUUAUGGACCUUACCGUCUUGAUGGAAACGGUGACACCAACACACACAUACCCACUGCUAUUCUCCUGGAGCCUUUGAUCUGACGCCUGGACCAACUCUUUCCCAGGCCUCCCAACACCUACCAUACAUUGACAUUAUACUUUCCCAGUCCUUCACUACUUCCAGGCAGCGGUCCACCUCCACCCAACCACCCUCUCCCUGCCCCCUCCAACCUGUGUCUCACAUCUGCUUUGCUGGCUAGACGUGUAAUUUCACCUGUUACGUCAUAGUCUUACACUCAGGCACUCCGGACACACAUACAGACAAAGCUAUUAGAACCGUAUGCUCAACAGGGUCUGGCACUACCAGACAAAGAGCCUUUUCAUGCAAAACGUCAGCCUCUCCUUCCCAAUACCAGCAAGGUCAUCUCUACUUUAUUGCUUGUUAAUGUGUAUGGUGUACGGGGAGACUAUUGAAAACAGGGGAAAACGCACACAUACAAUUGAAGCACAAGAUCUGGACAGAAGAUGAAACACAUAAUCCAUGAUCAAAAUGUCUUCUUUUUAAUUGUUUUACAUGAGACAUUUCUUAUUAUAUUGGGACUAGUCCGCAUUCACUCAAACAGCUGCACUGUUGCUGCCCUCUAAGAGUUCCUGCUGGUUCAGGUUGCUGCUGAAGGAGUGGAUCUGUGGCUCUGGAGAAGUUGUGACCAUCCAUGACUCACCAGUGACAAGACCGUCUAUUCAUCACCUGUGCUGAUCACAAAUUGGCAUCGCGUGAGGAAAAUGCCCUGCAUGAUUUAACUGAUUUCAUGGAGUGGACACACCUUGUUGCUGGGGCACGUGAGACCCAGCGGGCCAGAACAUCUGUGGGGCUCAAAGGGACAGACAGGCUGGGGUCAGACGUCUGGUGCUAAACGCUUCUGGGAAAGGAAGGCACCGGACCGUAGGAAUGACCCGUCUAGGAACUUCCUUCAAACUGCACGCAGAGAGAUACAAAUGGUAUCCACAAG
rnacentral:lncRNA from 1 species